rnacentral:rRNA from 1 species
AGAGUUUGAUCCUGGCUCAGAUUGAACGCUGGCGGAAUGCUUUACAUAUGCAAGUCGAACGGCAGCACGGACUUCGGUCUGGUGGCGAGUGGCGAACGGGUGAGUAACAUAUCGGAACGUAUCCAAUAAUGGGGGAUAACUAAUCGAAAGGUUGGCUAAUACCGCAUACGCCCUACGGGGGAAAGCAGGGGAUCUUCGGACCUUGCGUUAAUGGAGCGGCUGAUAUCUGAUUAGCUAGUUGGUGAGGUAAAGGCUCACCAAGGCGACGAUCAGUAGCUGGUCUGAGAGGACGACCAGCCACACUGGAACUGAGACACGGUCCAGACUCCUACGGGAGGCAGCAGUGGGGAAUUUUGGACAAUGGGCGCAAGCCUGAUCCAGCCAUUCCGCGUGAGUGAAGAAGGCCUUCGGGUUGUAAAGCUCUUUCGCAAGGGAAGAAAACUUACUUUCUAAUAAAGAGUGAGGUUGACGGUACCUUGAUAAGAAGCACCGGCUAACUACGUGCCAGCAGCCGCGGUAAUACGUAGGGUGCGAGCGUUAAUCGGAAUUACUGGGCGUAAAGCGUGCGCAGGCGGUUUUGUAAGUCAGAUGUGAAAUCCCCGAGCUCAACUUGGGAACUGCGUUUGAAACUACAAGACUAGAAUAUGUCAGAGGGGGGUAGAAUUCCACGUGUAGCAGUGAAAUGCGUAGAGAUGUGGAGGAAUACCAAUGGCGAAGGCAGCCCCCUGGGAUAAUAUUGACGCUCAUGCACGAAAGCGUGGGGAGCAAACAGGAUUAGAUACCCUGUUAGUCCACGCUCU